GCUUGCUCCACCGGGAAAAGAGGAGUGGCGAACGGGUGAGUAACACGUGGGUAACCUGCCCAUCAGAAGGGGAUAACACUUGGAAACAGGUGCUAAUACCGUAUAACAAUCGAAACCGCAUGGUUUCGUUUUGAAAGGCGCUUUACGGUGCCGCUGAUGGAUGGACCCGCGGUGCAUUAGCUAGUUGGUGAGGUAACGGCUCACCAAGGCCACGAUGCAUAGCCGACCUGAGAGGGUGAUCGGCCACAUUGGGACUGAGACACGGCCCAAACUCCUACGGGAGGCAGCAGUAGGGAAUCUUCGGCAAUGGACGAAAGUCUGACCGAGCAACGCCGCGUGAGUGAAGAAGGUUUUCGGAUCGUAAAACUCUGUUGUUAGAGAAGAACAAGGGUGAGAGUAACUGUUCACCCCUUGACGGUAUCUAACCAGAAAGCCACGGCUAACUACGUGCCAGCAGCCGCGGUAAUACGUAGGUGGCAAGCGUUGUCCGGAUUUAUUGGGCGUAAAGCGAGCGCAGGCGGUUUCUUAAGUCUGAUGUGAAAGCCCCCGGCUCAACCGGGGAGGGUCAUUGGAAACUGGGAGACUUGAGUGCAGAAGAGGAGAGUGGAAUUCCAUGUGUAGCGGUGAAAUGCGUAGAUAUAUGGAGGAACACCAGUGGCGAA
rnacentral:rRNA from 1 species